CAAAAUUACUCGCCAGNGCACUACAAGCAACAGCUNUAAAACUCAAAGGACUUGGCGGUGCUUUAUAUCCCUCUAGAGGAGCCUGUUCUAUAAUCGAUAAACCCCGAUAAACCUCACCACUUCUUGCUAAUUCAACUUAUAUACCGCCAUCCCCAGCAAACCCUAUUAAGGGGCCAAAGUAAGCAAAAACANCAUACAUAAAGACGUUAGGUCAAGGUGUAGUCAAUGAA
rnacentral:rRNA from 1 species